UCCCACUAUCUUUAAGUGGGCUCCCACUGACGUUAUUGGUAUCCUGUGGUGAGAGAAUAGGGCCAAUAUUUUUAGAUUUGUGUACGUUAGCUAUUUUCUGGAGUUGUUACAACACUAGUAUAUUUUUAGUGGUUCAUUAUAUUAAGUCGAAGAGCCUUUGCGUUGUGUUGUGUCAUACGCAGCGUGCGAACUUCCUGGAGCUCAUCUGUUCCUUUGAUCCUACCAGCCACAAUAGCAGCAGAGCUAACUCAUCGUCCACGACUAUUUCUUCCUUAAUAGGAGCUCUCCAGGUAGGCGGAAACACGCCAAACGGGAUGGUAACGGCCAUAUCGACUCUGAGUCCGGCACUGACAUGAUGUCCACUGCGGAUGGGAAGAAUCUGAGCAAUAUCAGAUAUAUUGCAAAUAUUUCAUGUGUUUGCCUUCCAGAAUUCUGUAGGAAUACUAUGUCACUGGAUUCUAAGCGUAUUUUGCAUACUUUGCAACUAUAGUAAUGUCACACUAUAGUAAUGAUAAAUUUCUUGCUGGGUACAGCUAUCUGUGCUUACUGUGUAGAUGACAGGAUUUAUUAGAUAGACUACAAGGCCUGACGCACUUUUAGAACUCAUAAUUGAAUGUAUCUUGACUAAUAAGUUGACAUAGAGACGUCAUUUCUAGGUGUUUUUUUCUGGUGUAUGUUUCUAGGAAAGACUGAAGGUCAGUUUUCCUUUGUAAAGUUUCUUUGACUUUCCUGUUAUGAUUGUUAGUCAAAAUAACAAAAAUAUGAUGUUCUGCAAAAUCUAUAUUUUUCCUACUGCCUUCCUUUUCAUCAGUGAACACUUAAUUUGUGUUGUCAGUAACACAUGCUAGCUGUUAGAAAAUCCAAAUAAAAUUAUACAGUGCCUCAUGACAGACAUACCAUUUCCCCACUCCUCACUGCUAUACACACAAUCCUUCAUGACAGCUGUUUAAUAUACAUGGUACUGACUUUCUCCAUAAUGCCAGUAUCUUAUGUGAAUUUGCUCGAAAAAUAACACAGUAUUACUUCUAAUUUUGAAAACAUGGGAGUAACUAAAUUCUUAUGUACAAUAUUUUGAGAACAGUUAUAUAAGUUUAACUUUAUGCAUUUCAACAGAAUUUGCAAAAUACUUUCGUAUUUGAGUUAGAGAAUCACGUAAUGUAUUUUAACAUAUUUUUGUCACAAUUCUCUGUACUGGCCUUUCAGACCAAUCCCCUCAACAUAGUGUAUCUUAAAGACUUUCAGUAGUUUAUGAAGCAACAUGACUAUUGUCUGAGAUGUAUUUUCUUUUUUCCCAUCUCUCACAGGCAGAAGCCUCUGCAGCAAUAAUUUCUUUCUUUUUUCUUUUGUGUAUGUGUGUGUACAUUGCACUGCAAAUUUCUAUUAGUGAAAGAAGAGCUGAAGAAGAGCACCUCUUUAUACUUGGAGCAGAAAUUGGUGACAUCUGAAGUAAUGCAACACACUAAACUACAGUGCACAGACAGGAGGGCAGUAAGUUACCCUGGUUCAAAGUAUGUUUAAGAUAACAUUUUGGUUGGCUUGCAACAGCCGCGCUGUGGAAGCUCACAAGCUAAGAAAGGCUGGGCCUCAUUAAUACUUGGAUGGGAGAUCUCCAGACAGCACUAAGAUUUAUUUCAGAAAGUUGCAUUAGUGACUUCUUAGCUGGCACUUUGAAUUGGUGCUGUCUCAGUGUUUAGCAUGUUUAUAGGGAUAGAAUAUUGCAAGAGAGAAACAGCUGUAUUUUCAACUACUUUGCACAGUCUUCACUUCAGCAUAAAAGAGAAAAGUCAGAUCCAGGAGAUAAAAGCGAGUGUUUUAGCACUAAAAAUGCACUGUUGCUAGUUGUAAGUAUAGAGGAAGUUUAGCUGUAGUGUUCUUGGCCAAGCCUCUGCUUGGGUUCUUUCUGCCCAUGAGUGCAGUUUCACACGGGGCUUGAGUCAAUCUAAAAGCACAUCGCUACUGUGACAGCAGUGGACCUGCUCUCCUCCACCGCUUCCAGGCACAUACUCCUUACUCUGGCCUGCUCUGCCUGAAAGGCAACCCUACAAAACACCGAGGUAAUGCAGAAACGACCAGACGGAUCAAUGAGGUGAUGCAGCUGCAUGAUUUAAGGAUGCCGGCACAGGGGAUGUGGUGGGGACCCAUGGCUGGGAGCAAGGCAGGGCUGUUCUACUGGUCACCCUCAAACAGUCUCAGGUGACUGCUAAAGUGGUACCCUGCAAUCCCUCAGUGGUUUUGUCUUGAGAAGACAUUCUGCUCAUCCUGUCCCAGGCCUUUCUGUGCAGGGUUAUUUCCAUCAGCGGCCGCAUCCCCUCAAAGGAUGGCUGCUGAGAGAAUGAGUGACAGGGCUUCAUUUAUCUUCCAUGCAAAGUGUGCUGGCCUUCCACAAAAUAAAAGACCUAAAAUUUUCAACUGCCUUGGUUUCCAUAGAAUCCAAAUCCACUGAGAGUAGAGCUCUCUUAAAAAUCUCCUGCAGUCUCUCUAAAGGCACCGCAGAGAGUACGUGAGGCCCUGGUUGCAAUAUAGCAACUUCAACAAAAGGGAGGAAGAGAAACCAGAACUGUGGACCGGCCGGUGAUGGGAAUGGAAACAGCUCUCUGUCCUUCCAAAUGUAAUCUCCAGACCAGCUUUCCCUCACGCUGCUCUUUCAAGCAGCGAUAGGUUGGAAAGCAUUUCACAGCUUCAACUGUUUUUUCUAUGCACAGGAGAGAUUCCUGGUCUCAGCUGUGUAAAUGUUUUAACUGAGAUUCAUGCUUGGCUAUUCAGGUCAUUGCUUUCUCUUCCGGCCCACACAGGCCAAAAUGCAUCUAUAUAAGCAUAAAGUGUCCAAAAUCAACACAGUAUUUUUCACUUGAACACACCCAUGGCACGUGGCUCACUCAGAGUACAGGGUACAAUGCCAAGCAGUAGAUUUGUACAUUUGCCUGAUAUGAACUUAGCAUGAUUUAUAAAAAAAGAUGCAAUAGCUCUGUUGUGUGCCUUUGCAAAUCUGACUUGGCAGAAACCCUUUUCAAAGAAGGAACCCGAGGAAACCAAACUCUCCCUUCUGUCUUAAGAAAGGACUAAUCUUAUGUAGGAAGUGUUCUCAAGAUAUGUAAUAAUUUAUAUUCAGAAUUACAAUGUAUUUCUUUUUGAAUUUAAGUAACCCUCUAGCUCCUGUACUGGAAGAAUAAAAUAAUUUUCCUUCCGCUGUUUUGACUUUAUUGUAUAAGGGGUUUAGGGACGCCUUGAAACUAACAGCAGUUAACUGAUUAAAACACCUUUAGUUAUAGAAAGACCUAGGUACCUCUAGAGACACGUUUAGUCAAUGCAAAAACGUGCAGGGAUUGUGUUCCCACAUAUUCUCACUCUGCCUGCAACUCUUUGCAGUGGCAAGUGAAGAUAACGAAACCCAAGGCACACCUUCUUAUGGUGCCAAGACUCUCCUUUUGUGACGCUUCCCUAGAGGUUUCUCUCAAAAUUCAGUGUAAUCAUAAACCCAGGAACUUGAGAACUAUUUUUACUAAAUUUAAUGAGGAGGUCAUGAGGUUUUUUUUGUGAUCCAAACUUGAGGUCCUUCUGAACUCACUGCCGAGGUAUUUUGCUGUUUGACGUGUCCCCUAUGGGGUGAAAGUGGCCAUGUUCUCAGCACCCAGGAACUGGUUUUGCUAUUUCAGCAGAUAAUUCACUGCCACAUAUACUUAUCCUUGUUGCUGGAGACUGCAAGGCUACCUGAUUGUUGGGCACCCAGAGAAGGGCUCCCAAACAAAUGUUCAUGAGGCCACUGUUUGCAGCUGGUUUGGCUCAUGGGUUUCCCACACCUCUGGGCUCACAGACACUUGCCUGCUGGCAUACACAAGGAAGCCAGAAGGCUUUGCUACUGUCUGAGAGUCCUCGAGAAAUAAAACUAGAUAGCUCUGGCCUUGGUAUAGGUGCAUUUACCAUUUUAAGUCUAAAAGAAUAUGUAUGUAAUAAAAAUAACAUAGUUCUUCUGCAGUUGAUCUUGCAAAACAGGAGGAGGAGGGCUUCCAUCUCUCCCUAAACUUGGGAAAACAACAAAAAAAAUGAAGGGUCUAAUGCUGAGAGGUCAAUGCAGCUGUCUUAAACCAUCUCCAUUUGCAUAUCAUUGUCACUGUCACCAUUGUCACAAACUCCCCCUUCUCUUUGCCAGCUGCAGUCUAUGGAAGGAGGUGCUGCCUAUGAGCCUUACCACACAAGGACCAUCAACGUCUUGCUUACAGCAAAGGAAUGCUCUAACCACUAAGCUAUUUGAUAAGCUUCACAUUUUCUUUUUCCAGCUUUGUAAAUCUAUGUCCCUAUUCUAUCAUGAGUUUUCUCACUUCUACUCAUCCGAUUGUCUCCUCCAUCUCACCAGGGGGAAGUGAGUGAACGGCUGUGUGGGACUUAGUUGCUGGCUGGGGUUAAACCACGACAUGCUUCUUUCCAACAGCAUUUAUCUGCAGAUUUGGAUCAAAGUUGGCAAUAGUUCUGGGACAACAAAGCCACCAUUUUUCGUAAAUCAGUUUUGGCAGAGAAAAAAAAAACAAGUAUUUUUCUGCUUUUGUUCAGGGCAAAGUUGCUUUGGCAUCUGGAUAGCCCAAACUGCAAAUGCAUUUGUGUACAUCACUGUAAGUAAACAAAAUUCCCGCAAGAGGUAGAAUAACAUUUAUUUGUGCUGAAAAAUGCUUAAUCGAUCUCUUCCUCAAGGACAUGAUUGCUUACUGUGUCCCUUACCAGCUGCAUUCGUUACAAGUAGCUAUGCCUGCUUCAGAUGUCACUAAAGGCAAGUGUUUCACAUAAUGGGCCAAUUUAAAAGGUUGCUUACAGAAGACAAAAGUUAAAACAAUGCAGAAGUUGAAAAUAUUUUUCCCCUAAAUUUCUUUUCUCCCUACAAAAUGAAUAAAGUUUUUAUGCUGACAUUUUAGGGCAACUGUCAUAUUGCCUCAACCCCUUCAAUUAAAAUUUGCCUCAAUGUCUUCAAUUCACUAUGGAUUUGUAACAAGAUGGCCUUAAUGCUGGAAUAGUUUCAAAGUCAUAUACCAGUGCAGAUUACCAGACUGAAUGAAAAAUAUACUAUGUUUCAACUCAAGGUUGAGAUAUAGAAGGGGAAGCUUGCCUUGGUGAAACAUGAAUCAUUGUAGGGCCAAAUAUUGUAUUGUACUCAAAUUCCUCAAAUUCCACUUAUUUCCACUUGAUUGCUUUUUUUUAACCUCACAGAGGCACCAGUUGCCACCUCUGCUCCAGAAAGGUGUAGUACCAGGACAAUAUGGAAUAGCUACAGGACAGUUUAGAGCUAUACAGUUAAGUCCCUUUCACCAUUUUGGCUAGCUUAAGGGAAAGCAAUAAAGCCACCCAAUGAUGCAUAAAGCAGAGCCCAGCUUGAAUGAACAGGAUCAUUUUCAUAGGCCAAUUUGCCUCUGUGAAGACCUGAAUAGGCAUGCUACCUGUGUACCCAGAACUAGUUACAGAAGGGUUAGAAGAAGGGAAAAAAAAGCAAGAGGUGGAAGAAGCUGUUUGUUGAUGCUCUCACCUGGCACUAGGACUGGCUUGCCUAGAAAUAGGCCACAUGCUUUCUUAGUGCGGGACCUGGAGUGAAAGAAACACCUCCAGGUAUUGCAACUGGAUCCCAGGACACUGUUUCAUCUGGUCAGUCAAUAUUUUUCUGAACUGUUUUUUUUUUGCCACCCUGUGCCUGCUACGCUUUCUCGCCUAUUGGCCUUAGCUGGGUUCACCCCAUUUUCCUCAUGAGGUGCCUUACCUGGAGGGUUAAUCUAUUCCUGUUUCCCCCAGAAACCUCACUUUGCACUAACAAGGUAUUUAAGUAUCUAUCUGAAUGUAAGGCUUCAUACCGGAGUUUUUGGAGUAGAGAAGACAUGUACUUUUUUCUAAGUUUUCAGCUAUAUCUUAUUAGUUUCUAGUCAGAAUGUGUAAUGCUGUCUUAUAACAAGUGGUAUAACAAGUCACUGUAUUAGUGUUUUCCUUCUGGUAGCAACCAGUGAUCCAUAAACACUGUGCUGGCUGCAGUGGAAACACUUGACCUAAACUUUUACAGAGCCAAGAUUAGUGAAGUGUAAAAGGAAACAAGAACACCCUUAUUAUCGAUAGGAAAUAAAAAAUGAAGAGUUAUUUGGAGCUUUUCCCAAGUUCAGACGGGAGGCCCGUGUCACAGCUCCAGCUCCCUUAAUGCCAGACCCACGAUCUAGUCACCAGAACUAUCCUUCUCUUAGUAAAUCUUUAAAUGUGGUGUCUUCUCCAGCACAGGCCACUACCAGAUGCUUCCAGUCUGAAUGAUACAACUCAAUCAAUUUUCUUGUUAGAUGUGCGAGAAAAACAUGCAGAUUAUGUCUGACAUCUUAUAAUUUUAUAAAUAUAUUUUUGUAACUUUGAUUCGAUAACCCUUUUAGAAGCAUAUAGUGAAGUGGUAAUCUCAGGAGACAUGAUUUGAUGGCAGCAGUAUUGCAAGAUAUUUGAAGCCUGCACCCUGGUUUUUCCUACCCCCUGAACUGUGCCAGAAAAACUCUUACUGAGACCCUGCUGUGAAAGAGGUCAGGGAAUUUGGUAGAUCCUCCCCAAAACAAUUUAUUUUCUUUUUUAAUUUUAAAAUAAGGCAAUUUAUUCUCCUAGAGGUAGGAAUGAGAGGUGUUAUACUGGAAAACCUGAAGCCGCGUUGCUGCUGAACACUCUCUACUCUGAAACCUCUGAUGCAGAAAAGAAAUGAUAGGACAUUUCAUUUAAUAUCUGUGUUAUAUGUCCUGACCAACGCUAUACCCACAAAACUUAAGUGAAUAUGCAUCUUGAAAAUGAGUCACAUUUAAUGAAACACACAGGCUGGAUCCCCCCCCCGAUCCCCGCUCCUCAUGUUUUGUUGAGCUUUAUCUUAAAUCAAGCUGUGAAUAUUUCCAUGCAACAAAACAUCUAUGAAGGCCCAUGUUUUACUUAUGAUCCCAGGGGAAAAUGUACUAUUACCAUGCUAAUUUGGAGAAGAGGAUGCCAGAUGGAUAGAACAGACUGCUGAAUAUAUUUGAAGUUAGGAGAGCUGACAUCUUGUGUAGGAUGCACAAUAUAAAGAAUUUAAAACAAAAAGAAAGAGAAGAAAAUGCUAAGUCUAGAGUAGCCUAGAGGUACUAUAUCAGUCAUAUAGUGCAUGUGAGUAAAAUAUUGUUAAUUAAUGAGGGUCAAGAUAUGCUUAAGGACUAAGAAAGAAGAAUAUACAUCUGGUAUAGAAAAUAACACAGCCCACUCAACGAGCAUUCACAUUGCAAGCCUGAAGCAAAUCCUAGAACUGUUGAUAAAAAAGCCCACAAGAGUUGCCAGAGACCUUAGUGCAGGAGAUAAAUCUGAGAAAGAAAAUACAACAGCAUGUUGUCUGUUACAUAUAGGAAUGUACCAGGUCCAUCUACACAUACAUCCUGUGUCUGGUAGCAUCCCAGAAGAGACAAUGAAAGAGUUUGCUUUCCUUAUUUUAUCUUCCCAGCAAACUGUGGCCAAAGGUUGUAACCAUGUUGUCAGAGCACUUGAUACACCUUGCUUUUGUUAAUUUGUCUACGUUACUAUUUUGAACCUGUUUAUGCAUAUGUAAACUAUUUGGCAAUGGUGAGUUCAACUUGUUAGUCACAAACUUGGUAUUUCCUUUGAUUAAGUUGAUAACUGGUGUUUUCA